GCUGUUCCGGAUGCUGUGGGUGUGCAGAGGAAUCAGAUUUGGUCCCUGUCCUCAAGGAGCUCACAGUCUAGUGAGGGAGAAAGGCC
rnacentral:miRNA from 1 species